UACGAAGGGGGCUAGCGUUGUUCGGAAUUACUGGGCGUAAAGCGCGUGUAGGCGGGUCUUUAAGUCAGGGGUGAAAUGCCAAGGCUCAACCUUGGAACUGCCUUUGAUACUGGAGACCUUGAGUCCGGGAGAGGUGAGUGGAAUUGCGAGUGUAGAGGUGAAAUUCGUAGAUAUUCGCAAGAACACCAGUGGCGAAGGCGGCUCACUGGCCCGGAACUGACGCUGAGACGCGAAAGCGUGGGGAAGCAAAC
rnacentral:rRNA from 1 species